rnacentral:sRNA from 1 species
GCGGGGCUAAAUGGGGCCGAGGCCGGGCGGGGUGGGGGUUCCCCGCGCCGCAGCCAUGGAGCAGCCUCGCGCCGCCGCCCGUCUGCAGAUCGUGCUGGGCCACCUCGGCCGCCCCUCGGCCGGGGCCGUAGUAGCUCAUCCCACUUCAGGGACUAUUUCCUCUGCCAGUUUCCAUCCUCAACAAUUCCAGUAUACUCUGGAUAAUAAUGUUCUAACCCUGGAACAGAGAAAAUUUUAUGAAGAAAAUGGGUUUCUAGUAAUCAAAAAUCUUGUACCUGAUGCUGAUAUUCAACGCUUUCGGUACAGUAACACUAUUUGUUAUUUUACAAAAGUAUGUAUUGUGUGCAUGUAAUGAGAAUACAAGGUGGAUUUGCUCCUGGCUUUACAGAUGUUUUUUAAUGAUUUGGUUUGUUGGGAAGUGUUUAGAAGCAUGGGCUCUGGUGCCAGACUGGCUUUUUAUUUUUUGUAGAGAAAGGGUCUCACUCUGUUGUGUAGGCUGGAGUGCAGUGGUGUGAUAAUAGCUUACUGCAGCCUCAAGUUCCUGGGCUCAAGCGAUCCUCCUGCCUCAG